rnacentral:lncRNA from 1 species
CUUGUGUAAUCAGAAUGAUUGAAAUAAAUUUUGAAGGAAAAAACCCCCAAAACUGAUUUUCUUUCUUAAUAUUAUUAUGUCUAAAUUAUACUUUGGACAUCUAUACAACCAUGAAAUUGUUCACUGUGUUCUUUCUUUUCACCUUAAAAUCAUGGAGGGUUAAUGAGUAGAGAACUCGAUGUAUUUACCCAUAGAAAGCAGUGAAACAAUCAUUUUUUAUUUACUUAGUUUGGAAAAACUAUAAGCAUUCUUUCUUUCUUUGUGAUCACGGACUAAUAAUUACACAAAUUGUUUUGUCUCUGAUUCUGUAUCUUAGCCUUACAAUUAGUAGAAUCUUGUGGGGUCAGUAAUCCCACUACUAAUCACAAAAACUACCACCUUUCCCCCAAGAGUUUAUUGUUACUGUGUAAUAUUUUUAGGAAGUAUUUUAGUUAAUUCCUGUAGUUUAUUUGUCCUUUUCUGCUUGCAUAAGCCCAAUUCAGUUAAUAGUAUUGUUUAAAAAUACCUGUUGUCAUCUCUUUCAGAUGCAUCUGGACCAAAUUGGUUGUCUUACAUUGAGCACUGUGUCAACUUUUUGUUUUUUGUUAUUUAAUACACCCACAUAUUCAUCAUGGUUGCAUUGUUGCCAUCCCAAGGUGAACUUGCUGCUGCAUGAAUUCACAGCCUGUCAAAUUCAGCCGACAUACAGAGAAACACAUCGCUGCUGCAGUUUCUAUUUCCAAACUCACGAAAUUGCUCUGAUGUUUUAGUCACAGAGAGAAACCUUUACACCAUUUCCACAAUUGGGUCUGAUUAAACAAACAGGCUGUGCAUUUGUAAUUAAGCAAGUGCAGAAAAAACACAAAGUACCCAAUUACCUACGUGCUCAUUGUAAGCCUGUUAACAUCUCAAAUGUCUCCUGAGAUCCAUUGCCCUUUUAACUAAGAGUAAAGCCACCUGCCUCCCCUGGGAAGGCUGGUAUGUCUGAAAUAGCUGAUUGUUUGCUUUCAGGCUAAAUGCCUCUCCUGCUCACUGGUUUAUCUAUUGAUUGUUCUUUAGCUUAUGACUGCUUUGCCCUGAGAUUUUCCCCCUAGGAUUAUAAUCUAUCUAACGUUUAUUCAGCAGAGCCCAUGUCCCUAACCCUUAGGGUUUCGUGAGUGGCUUCUGACUAACUUGUGUUCAAGAAACUAACAGAGUAUGUGCACAAUGACUAUGAAUAGUAUCCCCAGUUUAAAUACUUUCCAAUCCUUUUAUGCAAUUGCUGUCUUAAAAUCGGUGACAUCAUGCCUUGAAAAUAUAGUUUCCUUAAAAUUACAAAAAUAAGUUUUGAUCAGUUGCAACAAAUUUAACAAUACAAAAGAAUGUAGAGGGGCCCGCCUGGUGGUGCAGUGGUUAAGUGCGCACGUUCUGCUUUGGUGGCCUGGAGUUCACCAGUUCAGAAACCGGGUGUGGACAUGUCACCGCUUGGCAAGCCGUGCUCUAGUAGGCGUCCCACAUAUAAA